rnacentral:rRNA from 1 species
AGUGAACGCUGGCGGUAGGCCUAACACAUGCAAGUCGAACGGCAGCACAGUAAGAGCUUGCUCUUACGGGUGGCGAGUGGCGGACGGGUUAGGAAUACAUCGGAAUCUACUUUUUCGUGGGGGAUAACGUAGGGAAACUUACGCUAAUACCGCAUACGACCUACGGGUGAAAGCAGGGGAUCUUCGGACCGUGCGCUGAGGAAGGAGCCGAUUUCGGAUUAGGUAGGUGGCGGGGUAAAGGCACACCAAGGCGACGAUACGUAGCUGAUCUGAGCGGAGGAUCAGCCACACUGGAACUGAGACACGGUACAGACUACUAUGGGAGGCAGCAGUGGGGAAUAUUGGACAAUGGGAGGAAGCGUGAUCCAGCCAUACCGCGUCGGUGACGAAGGCCUUCGGGUUGUAAAGGCCUUCUGUUGGGAAAGAAAAGCAGCAGGUGAAACCCCCGCUGUGAUGACGGUACCCAAAGAAUAAGCACCGGCUAACUUCGUG